rnacentral:rRNA from 1 species
GAUGAACGCUAGCUACAGGCUUAACACAUGCAAGUCGAGGGGAAACGAUAUUGGAAGCUUGCUUCCGAUAGGCGUCGACCGGCGCACGGGUGAGUAACGCGUAUCCAACCUGCCCAUCACUUGGGGAUAACCUUGCGAAAGUAAGACUAAUACCCAAUGACGUCUCUAGAAGACAUCUGAAGGAGAUUAAAGAUUUAUCGGUGAUGGAUGGGGAUGCGUCUGAUUAGCUUGUUGGCGGGGUAACGGCCCACCAAGGCGACGAUCAGUAGGGGUUCUGAGAGGAAGGUCCCCCACAUUGGAACUGAGACACGGUCCAAACUCCUACGGGAGGCAGCAGUGAGGAAUAUUGGUCAAUGGACGAGAGUCUGAACCAGCCAAGUAGCGUGAAGGAUGAAGGUCCUACGGAUUGUAAACUUCUUUUAUAAGGGAAUAAACCUCCCACGUGUGGGAGCUUGUAUGUACCUUAUGAAUAAGCAUCGGCUAACUCCGUGCCAGCAGCCGC